CUCUGUUGCCUCCGGGGCGACCCUGCCUCCGGGCGGGGGCCCCGGGUGGACAUUUCAAACUCUUGCGUAACUUUGCAGUCUGAGUAAAUUUAAUUAAUAAAUUAAAACUUUCAACAACGGAUCUCUUGGUUCUGGCAUCGAUGAAGAACGCAGCGAAAUGCGAUAAGUAAUGUGAAUUGCAGAAUUCAGUGAAUCAUCGAAUCUUUGAACGCACAUUGCGCCCCCUGGUAUUCCGGGGGGCAUGCCUGUUCGAGCGUCAUUUCACCACUCAAGCCUCGCUUGGUAUUGGGCGACGCGGUCCGCCGCGCGCCUCAAAUCGACCGGCUGGGUCUUUCGUCCCCUCAGCGUUGUGGAAACUAUUCGCUAAAGGGUGCCGCGGGAGGCCACGCCGUAAAACAACCCCAUUUCUAAGGUUGACCUCGGAUCAGGUAGGGAUACCCG
rnacentral:rRNA from 1 species